CAAACGACUCUCGGCAACGGAUAUCUCGGCUCACGCAUCGAUGAAGAACGUAGCAAAAUGCGAUACUUGGUGUGAAUUGCAGAAUCCCGUGAACCAUCGAGUUUUUGAACGCAAGUUGCGCCCGAAGCCAUUCGGCCGAGGGCACGUCUGCCUGGGCGUCACGCAUCGC
rnacentral:rRNA from 2 species